UACGUAGGGUGCAAGCGUUGUCCGGAAUUAUUGGGCGUAAAGAGCUCGUAGGCGGUCUGUUGCGUCGGCUGUGAAAACCCGGGGCUCAACCCCGGGCCUGCAGCCGAUACGGGCAGACUAGAGUUCGGCAGGGGAGACUGGAAUUCCUGGUGUAGCGGUGAAAUGCGCAGAUAUCAGGAGGAACACCGGUGGCGAAGGCGGGUCUCUGGGCCGAUACUGACGCUGAGGAGCGAAAGUGUGGGGAGCGAACAGG
rnacentral:rRNA from 1 species